rnacentral:rRNA from 1 species
GACAGAGGGUGCAAACGUUGUUCGGAAUUACUGGGCGUAAAGCGCGUGUAGGUGGCAAGGCAAGUCGGGUGUGAAAGCCCUGGGCUCAACCCAGGAAGUGCACUCGAUACUGCCUCGCUAGAGUCCCGGAGAGGUUGGUGGAACUCUCGGUGUAGAGGUGAAAUUCGUAGAUAUCGAAGAAGAACACCGGUGGCGAAGGCGGCCAACUGGACGGUGACUGACACUGAGACGCGAAAGCGUGGGGAGACAAACAGG